AUUUGCAGUGAUGCAGCCGAGCGCAGUCUACGCUCCGCCGCAGUCCUCGCAGCCCACGCAGCCCCGACGAUGGAAACCGUGGCCGGAGAUGGCAAUCCCUAAAGGCAUCCCGAGGAGCUUCCUGGUGGCUCAGAAACACGAGUCGUUGACCCGCCCGCCCCUGCCGCAGUCGCACGAACAAUACACACAAGUCCCGCAACCGUACCAGCAUUCGUUCGCUUGGGGAUCCCAGCCCG